UUGGGUUUAGUGGAGAAUUUGCGAGUCCGUCGCGCUGGAUUCGCUUAUCGGCGACCUUAUGAAGCCUUUUUGAAUCGCUAUAAAAGCCUGUGUCCCGAUACUUGGCCCCAACCGAAAGGAGAUCCUAAAAGCGCCGUUCAGACACUUGUCAACUAUCUUAAGUAUGGCGAAAAUGAUUACCGUAUGGGUCUGACCAAAAUAUUCAUCCGGCUGCCCAAGACCUUGUUUGAGACGGAGGACGCCUUCCAGCGGAGGAAGAACGAGCUGGAAAGCCUGAUUCAGGCCAAAUACAAGGGGAUCCUUCAACGACGCAAAUACUUGGCUAUUCGCCUUCGCAUUAUCCGCGUCCAGUCUGUGAUCCGCCGUUUCCUGGCAAAGCGUCGAGCCAAUAAACGUCGCUGGGCAGUGCAGGUGAUCCGUCACUUCAUUAAUGGCUUCAUGAAGCGCAAUGAGCCUUUGAAUUCGGCCAACGAGAAAUUCCUCGGAUUCGUCCGCUUCCACACUACUUGAUGCGUUUGACCAAGAAACUGCCGGAAUCGAUUAUGGACAAGUCUUGGUCCGACGCACCUGCCAGCUGCCAAGAGGCCAAUGAUGUAUUGCGAUCCAUGUACAUGAAAUGGAUGGUUGGGCGUUAUUGCAAGAACAUCGCACCUGCUCGUAAACGUCAAUUUGAAUUGAAAGUUUUGGCUGAAGCGGUAUUCAAAAAUAACAAAAAGAGCUACCAGGAAAGCAUUUCCAAAUGGUUCGUCGACUGCCGCUUGUCGACUGAGCAGCAAGGUCCUUUCCGUUCCAUUUUCGAAGCCAAUGUCAAAUCACAAGGCGAAACGAUUUUGUACUCGGCUCCGAUCAAGAAAUUCGAUCGUCAUGGCUACAAAGAACGCGAACGCUACUUGGCACUUACCAAAUCGACCGUCUAUUUGCUGGAUGCGAAGGAUUGCAAGAUCAAGCACCGCUUGACAUUCAACGAUAUCACCGGCAUAACCGUGACCAAUAGAGUCAAGACAAUUUAAUUGUGGUGCGAAUUCCCGAGGAUGACAAAAAAGACAAAGGUGACCUGAUCCUCGAGUGUCGUAACUUGAUCGAAGCACUCACCUGGAUUGUGGAUACCUGCAACAAACGUGACAUCAUUCGAUUUGAAUCCGCAACGUCGUUGACGCACCAUAUCGCCAAGGGUAAACCUGGUACCAUUGAAAUUACCCACGGUGGACCAGUCACAGGCAUUACUAAAGGGAAAAAUGGUCAUUUAAUGGUGGCUGCGUCAUAACACACGAUGGUUAUUCAACAUUACUGUUGGGUGGCAAGGGGAGAAAGGGCGCGCGACAGUUAUUCAAAUAGAUGAAGAAGACAUUCCCAUAUUUUUUAAUGGUUCAUUUUUGUUGAUUACUAUUUCUGAGAGAAGACAAGCAAAGGACUCGGAGCUUUGAAACAAGUGCCGUGAUUUGGUCAAGUAUAUUUACAAGUUACAAUCAAUAAUCGUGAUUCGGAAUUCCAGCAGCUAGUCUCGUCAACCUGGUAUACAUAUGAUAAUAGCACAUAAAAUCCUAAACAUAUUUUGGUUAGAUUGAUUGUUUAUAUAAAGGGGGAAAUUAUUGUAUAUGUUAUGUUGAAUUGAUGUGCAUUUCGAAGUCGAUAACAUGGAACCCUUAUCAAUUAA